GAGUGUCAGAUGCAGUAGCUAAUUCUGGACAGAUGAGGACUGAGAACCAAGAACAGAAAUUAAGAAAUCACUGGAAAAUCUGGACAAAGGAGUUUCUAUUGGUUAAUGAGACUGGAGGAUAUGGGCAAACAUUCUUGGGUAUGUUCGAAGGCAAAAGAGAAGAAACCAGUAAAAAGGGAGAGGUUUAAAAUUUUAGAGAGAAGGCUGGAAAGAGGAAAAACAUGGUAUGAUCAGGAUUGCAAUCUACUGGAAAAAGCAGUAGACAGAAUCAAUCAUACAUAUAGAGGGAAUGGCUUUGGCAAACGGGAGAUCAAGUUGUCACAGACAUAUCUAUGAUAAUUCAACAUCUCCACUAUAUGAUAGACAAGAAAAGUAUGCAAGAAAGGGAAUUGAAACCUAAUUACUUAUCAGAAGCCCUUAUAAAAGUACUCAUGCAGGAGGAUUUGAAGAAGGUAUGGUGAUAAAUUAUCCAGAUUCAUUUCCCCCUUGCCUAGAUUACAGGGGUCCUCAAAAUUUUUAAAUAGGGGGCCAGUUCACUGUCCCUCAGACUGUUGGAGGGCCGGA